rnacentral:lncRNA from 1 species
GCAGAGAAAUUGGUGACAAACAGAAGUACUGAAUCGAAUAGUAAAAUGAAGUUACAAAGUUUCUAGUUUGAAAUACUUGACCCUUGUUAUCUUUACGACUAAUUACUCAUUCCUACUAAUCGUAUGUUUCAUUAUAUUAUUUGAUUAAUGUAGCUUACAAAAAAAUAUAAUUGAACAAAAACAUCAAUAAUUUAUGUAUCAUGAACAAGAAUUCUGUUAAUAUUUAUAUAAUGUAUUGUAAGUAAUAAGAAACAGAGAUUCGCAAUUACUAAAUGAUCCAAUUACGGUUAAUGAUUUACAAUGUUACUGGUAGACUACGAGUGUGUUUGUAAUCAAAACAAUAAUAUUUUUAUUACAACUACAUUAUUGUUUGCAGUACAUAUCGUUCGUAGCGUCACUUAAAAAUCGUUUAGUUUGGUUUACCCUUUAUGUAGUGUUAGGCCUUAACAAGACUAUUAUAGUAAAAACCGCACCGGAAACAGUAAACGGUACAAUGCAUGUAUUACUCCGUGCUAUUUGUUAGUGUGUUUUAAAAUAUUAUAAAAUAAUAAUGUUACAAUAACAAUCGAGGUGGUAUUCAUAGCAAAGUAUCUUGUACUGUUUAUCGAAAACUGUGUUUUUGUAAACAAACUCGCGCGCUCGCAUCCCGCCCCGCCACCGCCACCCGCACCCGAGCCGGCGUCCGGCUUGGCGGCCAUUGUGUUUUUGACCAGCGAGCGAGCGCAGUAUUGCAGAUUGAAUUUGAAGUGUUUUUCGCCUUUUUGGGUUAUUAUUACAAAACCAGUGACAAGAUGGAUGAUGACAUUGACCAAGACGUCCCUCAGUUAUUAAAGCAGUGGGGUUUACCCCAAUAUAUUCAUACUUUUCAAGCCGUUGAAAAAUCUACUCUUAAAAUCGAAUGAAGGACAAGGCCUGCUAAAUUUAUAUUCAGAACAAGGCAAAUUAUCAAAUAAUGGGCGAAGAAAAGUUUGCAAUAUAAUAAUAAAAGACCUAAUGCAAUCAGACCCAAAUAAAAGAAUAGACAGUUCUCUACUUCUUACAAAAGCACAAGAAAUAACUGAAGUAUUCAAAAAGGAAAAUAUAAGUACUUACUUUAUUCCAUACAUUAAUGAUACUAAACUUAAAAUAAAAAGAUGUGCAAAAGGCAAAUUAUAUGACUGUCUACAAAACAGGCGCCGCGAAUUAAGGGAGGCUAAGGUUAUUAAAAAGAAAAAUGGCAGCAACAUCAACAAUAACAGCAACGAGCCAGAAGUCGUCGAAGAAG